UUCGCCCUUAGAGUUUGAUCCUGGCUCAGGACGAACGCUGGCGGCGCGCCUAACACAUGCAAGUCGAACGAGAGAGAGGGAGCUUGCUUCCUCAAUCGAGUGGCGAACGGGUGAGUAACGCGUGAGGAACCUGCCUCAAAGAGGGGGAUAACAGUUGGAAACGGCUGUUAAUACCGCAUAAGCGCACAGCAUCGCAUGAUGCAGUGUGAAAAACUCCGGUGGUAUAAGAUGGACCCGCGUUGGAUUAGCUAGUUGGUGAGGUAACGGCCCACCAAGGCGACGAUCCAUAGCCGACCUGAGAGGGUGACCGGCCACAUUGGGACUGAGACACGGCCCAAACUCCUACGGGAGGCAGCAGUGGGGAAUAUUGGGCAAUGGGCGCAAGCCUGACCCAGCAACGCCGCGUGAAGGAAGAAGGCUUUCGGGUUGUAAACUUCUUUUAUGAGGGACGAAGGAAGUGACGGUACCUCAUGAAUAAGCUCCGGCUAACUACGUGCCAGCAGCCGCGGUAAUACGUAGGGAGCGAGCGUUAUCCGGAUUUACUGGGUGUAAAGGGCGUGUAGGCGGGGAAGCAAGUCAGAUGUGAAAACCAGUGGCUCAACCACUGGCCUGCAUUUGAAACUGUUUUUCUUGAGUGAUGGAGAGGCAGGCGGAAUUCCGUGUGUAGCGGUGAAAUGCGUAGAUAUACGGAGGAACACCAGUGGCGAAGGCGGCCUGCUGGACAUUAACUGACGCUGAGGCGCGAAAGCGUGGGGAGCAAACAGGAUUAGAUACCCUGGUAGUCCACACCGUAAACGAUGAUUACAAGGUGUUGGGAGAUUGACCCUCUCAGCGCCGCAGUUAACACAAAAAAUAAUUCCACAUGGGGAGUAUGACCUCAAGGUUGAAACUCAAAAGGAAUUGACGGGGGCCAGCACAAACAGUGGAAGUAUGUUAUAUAAUUAGAUGCAACGCGAAGAACCUUAACAAGUCUUGACAUCCCUUGACGAUGCUGGAAACAGUAUUUCUCUUCGGAGCAAGGAGACAGGAGGUGCAUGGUUGUAGUCAGCUCGUGUCGUGAGAUGUUGGGUUAAGUCCCGCAACGAGCGCAACCCUUAUGGUCAGUUACUACGCAAGAGGACUCUGGCCAGACUGCCGUUGACAAAACGGAGGAAGGUGGGGAUGACGUCAAAUCAUCAUGCCCUUUAUGACUUGGGCUACACACGUACUACAAUGGCGUUAAACAAAGAGAAGCAAGACCGCGAGGUGGAGCAAAACUCAGAAACAACGUCCCAGUUCGGACUGCAGGCUGCAACUCGCCUGCACGAAGUCGGAAUUGCUAGUAAUCGUGGAUCAGCAUGCCACGGUGAAUACGUUCCCGGGCCUUGUACACACCGCCCGUCA
rnacentral:rRNA from 1 species